GAGUUUGAUCGUGGCUCAGGACGAACGCUGGCGGCGCGCCUAACACAUGCAAGUCGAACGGAGCUUAGAUUUUGAAGUUUUCGGAUGGACGAAUGUAAGCUUAGUGGCGGACGGGUGAGUAACACGUGAGCAACCUGCCUUUCAGAGGGGGAUAACAGCCGGAAACGGCUGCUAAUACCGCAUAAUGUUGCGGGGGCACAUGCCCCUGCAACCAAAGGAGCAAUCCGCUGAAAGAUGGGCUCGCGUCCGAUUAGCCAGUUGGCGGGUAACGGCCCACCAAAGCGACGAUCGGUAGCCGGACUGAGAGGUUGAACGGCCACAUUGGGACUGAGACACGGCCCAGACUCCUACGGGAGCAGCAGUGGGGGAUAUUGCACAAUGGGCGAAAGCCUGAUGCAGCGACGCCGCGUGAGGGAAGACGGUCUUCGGAUUGUAAACCUCUGUC
rnacentral:rRNA from 1 species